AUUACGUCAUCAACAUGAAACUAUACGCAUGACGUCAUCUAGCGACAUUUGGCGACUUUUCGAGCAGACUUUAGCUACUUUCCAUUGAAAAUAGUUGGCAACACUGUACCCCAGUUGAAACAGACUAUAGUGGUGUAGACGCAGGGUGCACUUGUGUUGUGUGCCUGUUGAAGCAGUUAUUUGGAAGUACGUUUAAGUGUUUGUGUGCCAGUACGGUUGCGUGGGUGGUUGCAUUUUUUCUCGGUCGGCGUGACUGCUUGUCUGUCUUUGUUAAUAAACAGCGCGAGAGUUACCGACAGCUGCGUGAGCGGCUUUCUGUCCGCGUACCUUCGCCAAGAGCACCCGCGGGGUAAUAUCUAAUAUCGGUAACGUUAACUUGGAAAAGGACAGUUGCACUUGAUCUUUGCUCGGUCGCCAGUCGGGGCUGGGAGGACAUUGUUGUUUUUCGACCUCCCUAGAGCAAUUUCGCUUUAUUUUAGUUAAAGGUGGUUCAGUAGGAAGUUAUUCUCGGAGACCGGAUAGGAAAGAAGGGAGGUGGUGUUGCAGUAUAUGUAAAAGAAAACUUGCAGGUGAGUAAGGGACCAGCCACUUGCUUGUGAGGGGAUGACGCCAACCCUGAUGAGCAGCCCCAACCUGAGCAGAUGGCUGUGCAGGGGCUCUGGUAGUGCUAGUUGGACCCAAGGCUGUUCAGAAUAAGUUUCACAACCUCCACUUUGGUCUUCCUACUCAGCUUAACACAGUGGUCAGAGAUCUUUGUAUCCUGUUUGAUUCAUAUCUGUGUUUUGAUUUUCACAUAAGAAGUAUUACUAGAACUUCGUUUUACCAUCUACAGAACAUAGCCAAGCUUUGGAAGGUGCUCUCUUUUCAUGAUGCAAAAAAACGAAUACAUGCCUUCAUAAUAUUAAGACUGGUUUACUGUAAUGCCCUCCUUUCUGGUUGCUCAUCUGCAUCCUUACAUAAACUUACAUAAACUGGCUUCCAGUUAAGUCUCAGAUUGACUACAAAUACUGCUAUUAACUUAUAAAGCACUGAAUGUCUCUUACAACCCUCCCUGCUUCCUUCGAUCUGAAGGUGCUGGUUAUCUAUUAGUACCUUGAGUAGAAAGAACUACAGUAGGCUGUAAGCUCUUAUAAAGCUCCACAGCUAUGGAAGUGCAGGAUUCAGACUCGCUCUCAAUAUUGAAGUCUAGACUAAAAACACACUUGUUUACUCUAGCUUAUAGGGACUCUAUAGUUCUAGCUAACUACUCACCUCCAGUCAGGCCUAUAGUGUGAGGUGAAGAGCUGGGUGGGGAUCGGUGCCAUUGAUUUUUGAUGAACUGAACUGCCAGUGCUGUCACUCUAGUGUCACACUCGGAAUUGGACUACUGACAGUUCCCGGACUCACCAUGUCUCCUCCUACUUAUGCUGCCAUAGCCAUAUCUGCCGGAGGUUACAUAUUGCACUCGCCUAACUGUUUGCACUGCCUCUAGUCUCCCCUACUUUCGCUAAUUGCACAUUUUAUUUCCCCUACCCCUCCUGGGAUGUGCUGCCUGGAGACCCCAAAAUAUCAGGAUAUUCUGCCUACUCUGCUGCCUGUGACACCUCCACUACCUAUGCCUUCUUUCCUGCCUGUUCGUCCUUCUGCUUGUGACGUUUCUCCUGUAUGCCAUGCUGCUGUAGCACUGUUUGUCCUCUCAUCAGAAGCAGCGCCAGCACCUACUUGACAUUACCUGCCUGCCUCCUACUUUGAAACUCAAAUCUUAAAAUUUGGACAAUGUGAAUUAUGACUUUGCCUUCUUACUCAUUUGGCUUAAUCUCUCGGGUCUGGAGGAGGUGCUCCCCCUUUGAGUCUGGUUUAUUCUUUGCCACUGUCACCUCUGGCUUGCUCAUUGGGGGCUUUGGGAAGGGAUAAUGUAAAGCGCUUGGAGACAAUGUAAUUUUGUGAAAAUGUGAAAUAAAAAUAAAUAAUUGAAUUGAAUUGUCACAUAUCUAUAGUCUGGUAUCUAGCACUCAAUUUGGACUAAAGUGACAAAAAGAUGUUAAACACCCCUAGUAGCGGUACUAUACACACAUUUCCAAUACUGUUGGUGCACAUUGGUGGAUUUUAUCAGGUCCAAGCAUGCUUCUUCAGGUUUUUUCUAGGUUUGUGUAAGUGGUAUACAGUGUCCUCCACAAUUAUUGGCACCCCUUAUAAUGAUUUGUAAAAAGGGUUAGUAAAAAUCUACCUUUUGGUGAAGUAGUUUCAUAUCACACUGAAAAAAUGAGAAAAAUCCAACCUUUCCUUAAAAUAAAUUUAUUGAAAGAAAAACAAAUCCUUCAUCAAAAAAUAAUUAUUUUCAACAAAAACACAUGUGCUACGAUUAAUGGCACCCCUGCUUUUAAUACUUUGUACAACCUCCCUUUGCCAGUAUAAUAGCACUGAGUCUUCUCCUAUAACAUUUUAUAAAGGUUGGAGAAUACCAAGCAAGGCAUCUGAGACCAUUCCUCUUUACAGAAUUUCUCCAGAUCAUCCAGGGUCCUAGGCCCUCUCAUAUGCACUCUCCUCUUCAGCUCAACCCACAGGUUUUCAAUGGGGUUCCGGUCAGGGGACUGAGAUGACCAUGGCAGAAGCUUGAUUUUGCAGUCAGCUAACCAUUUUUGUGUUGAUUUGGACAUGUGCUUAGGAUCACUGUCCAGUUUGAAUAUCCAAUGACAGUCCAAUUUUUGUUUCCUGGCAGAGGCAGCCAAAUUUUGAUUUAAAAUGUCCUGGUAUUUCAUGGAGUCCACACUGUAAAAAAUGAAUCAUGAGGCUUGUAAUUUUCUUUAAUCAAAUUGAUGUAAUCAUUAAAAAUAAUGUGCAUAUUUAAUUAAAAAAAUAGGUUUUCUGUGUUUCUUAUAAUAUAUUGAGAACAUUUCACUAAUAAAAUUAAGAAAUAAAUUUUACCAAUUUUUUAAGGAAAUGAGUGCAAUUUUUAGGCUUAAUUUGAGGAACCGUUUAGGCUAAAAUUUUGAGGAAAAAAGGUUUCAUAUUUAUUUUAAGAGAAUUGGUCCAGUUAUCUGGGUUUGAUUGAGUCACCAUUUGAAUCGCAACAACAGCUGUGGUCAGAUGGCGUUUUGAAGGAGCAGAUGAUCAGUGUAAAAUAUUAAGAGGUAAGUUAAGCCCCUUACUAUUUUUUGCAUUUUAUUUUGAUUUCUUAAAUAAGCUCCUCAGGACACCGCUUACUUACGCUAGUACAGGAAUUGUUUUACACUAAUUUUUGAAUCUGAACGACAGUGAUCAUUUUGGCAUGUGAAACAGUGACUAUGUUUAACCAGGUGUUUUAAAAUAAAGGUUUACAAUUAUGCAAUGUUAUUUGAUGUGAAAAUCUGAACUCAAGCUCAUUAGUCGUAACUCCUCACAUGCACGUGCUGAGGCUAGAAUGGACAUGUUGGUCGCUAAAGCAAAAAUGAUUAUGGCCAUGCAUCAAACUUGAUAGAUGGGGCAGUUUCUAUGAUUAUACUUAUCUUUUAAGAGUGUUGAUGUGUUUAUAUAUUCGCUUCAAAUUGUAAAGAUGUAUUAGUGUUUAAUCAUUUCAUGCAAUAUAUGCAUUUUUUUCAUUCAUCCUCGACGUUAGAAGGCGCCCUCUUAAACAAAACAAUUCACAAACACCUUAGGAGCAACACGAUGGCGUUUCAGGACAUAACCAUGCUUUUGACUAGUUGAAGAAUACAAACAUCUUUGCAAUCAUUAAGGCAGUAUCAGUCUUCAUAAAGAGUAAGAUAUCUAUAGCAAUUUACAUUUUCUCUUUGAUUAAUCUAUGUAAAAUUCGACCUGAAUGAAGUUAUUUGAACACAUUUGAGAUUUACUAUAAUACAAAUUUUUUUAAAAUUAGUCUUUAACGAUAUUUAAAAAUGUUUAGACUUGUUUAUCAGUGUGUUUAGCAGUAUUGGGUUUCUAGGCUGAAACCAUUCCAAUUUCAUGAUUUUGAUGAUUAAAAAUAUGUAAUAAAAAUAUUCCACAAACAUUACAUUAAAUGUAAACCCUUAUAACUACUUUUCUUUAUGAAUAAUAAUUUUAACAGCAACUUCUGAGCAAACAAUGAAGCUUGUGGUGAAAGAAAAAAUGUCAAAAACCCUUGCUCUCCGAAGACAUGAGGUGGUUGAAUUCUGCCCGACUGUUGCAGAAUUUAAAGAUCACUGGCCUGCUCUGUUUGACGUUCUCCAGAUUAAUGAAGAGUUUAGGAGAAUUAUUACUCUGCACCUUGAGCCAACAUUUAUUAAGGUUGGAUUUGUGAUACCGGCCGAUGAAGAAGGACAGGGAUCCAGAUAUGCGAGCUACAGCGAGUUUUAAUGAAAGCACUGAAGUGCUAGUUCUAAUGGGGAAAAGCAAAGAGAAUGGACAAUGUCCGUAAACGUGGGUCAGAAGCCAGGGAAUCCGUUCAACAGGGAGACACGGGACAAGAGCACACGGGGAAGCGGGAACAGGACUUGCCGGUCUCAGCAGGGUAGACCGGUUAGGUUCGGGAACGGGUCUGGGAAGAGGACGAGAGAGAGUAAGAGGAUACCGCUUCUUUCAAAAUGAUUUAUGACCUAAAGGUCAUAAAGGUCAUGGGGGGCGGAGUUUGGGGCGUGGUUGUGGUGGUACGAUGUGACGUCAUGGGAGAGGGAUUUAAAUGAAUUAUUUAUUAUUUAAUAAUUUAUUAUUAUUUAAAAUUAUUUAUUUAUUAUUAUUAUUUAUUUUAAAAAUUAUAAUUUUAUAUUGAGGAGAGUGCUUAUGAGUGUGUAUUAUUUUUAAGUUAUUUAUUUAUUAUUUUAAAAAUUAUAAUUUUAUAUUGAGGAGAGUGUGGGGUUUUGUCGGGCGCCGCCGGGGCUGAGCGGGGUGGGUUACCUGAUGGAGCGUGAGCGUACGCUGUGCGGUACUGUGGUAAGGUCCCCGGGCUUUGGAGAAUCAGCAAAGGACUCUGAGAGAGCGAUGCUAUGUGUCUGGUGCGGUACUGCGGUAAGGUCCCCACGACUUUGGAUAAUCCGCGGAGAGAGCGAUGCCGGAGAGCUGAGAGCCGUGCUGCUCGAGUCUGAUGCCGGAGAGCUGAGAGCCGUGCUGCGCGAGUCUGAUGCCAGAGAGCUGAGAGCCGUGCUGCGCGAGUCUGAGAGAAACUCUGAGAGAAUGAGACUCUGGGAGAAAAUGAUAAAGUUGGAGCAAAGAAUGAGAGGAGGCGGAGGGUCUGACGUCCAAUAAAAACGCUUGGCGGUAGUUUU